rnacentral:rRNA from 1 species
UACGUAGGGUGCAAGCGUUAAUCGGAAUUACUGGGCGUAAAGCGUGCGCAGGCGGUUUUGUAAGACUGUCGUGAAAUCCCCGGGCUCAACCUGGGAAUGGCGAUGGUGACUGCAAGGCUAGAGUUUGGCAGAGGGGGGUAGAAUUCCACGUGUAGCAGUGAAAUGCGUAGAUAUGUGGAGGAAUACCGAUGGCGAAGGCAGCCCCCUGGGUCAAGACUGACGCUCAUGCACGAAAGCGUGGGGAGCAAACAGG